GUUUGCAUAGACACCAUUACAUGUACUUCUCUCCCAAAGCUGAGCAUUAGAACAGGAAGAGUCCUUCCCAAUAGAGGAAGACCAUUCUUCCCUCAGGAUGUAAGAAAAGCUGCACUCCACUGCUAGAACCAAACUCUCAAAGUCCAUUUGUAAGAGAACAUAGCUUGUCAAGUUUAUUAAAAUAAUUGUUUUAAUUUAAAAAGAACUUUACAGGGCACAUGGGUGGCACGGUUGGUUAAGUGUCUGCCUUU
rnacentral:snRNA from 14 species